GAUGAACGCUAGCGGCAGGCUUAAUACAUGCAAGUCGAGGGGCAGCAGCUUUAUAGCAAUAUAGAGGCUGGCGACCGGCAAACGGGUGCGGAACACGUACACAACCUUCCUUUAAGAGGGGGAUAGCCCAUAGAAAUGUGGAUUAAUACCCCGUAACAUAUCGGUGUGGCAUCACACUGUUAUUAUAGUUUCGACGCUUGAAGAUGGGUGUGCGGCUGAUUAGGUAGUUGGCGGGGUAAAGGCCCACCAAGCCUUCGAUCAGUAGCUGAUGUGAGAGCAUGAUCAGCCACACGGGAACUGGGACACGGGCCCGACUCCUACGGGAGGCAGCAGUAAGGAAUAUUGGUCAAUGGACGCAAGUCUGAACCAGCCAUGCCGCGUGAAGGAUGAAGGUCCUCUGGAUUGUAAACUUCUUUUAUAGGGGGCGAAAAAAGGGAAUUCUUUCUCACUUGACGGUACCCUAUGAAUAAGCACCGGCUAACUCCGUGCCAGCCGCCGCGGUAA
rnacentral:rRNA from 1 species